rnacentral:lncRNA from 1 species
CAAAAACUUACUUGAGAUUGAUAAUAGACCUAAAAACAUAAAAGCUUAAACAUUUUAUGAGAAAACAAUACCACCAUAACAAUCUGGAGGUAGGCAGAUUUAUUUAGAAAAAGUCCAUUUAAAAAUUGAUAAAUUAAGACUCCAGUGGAAACUUCUGCUCAAAACACUAUAAAAAAAAUCAAGAGUCAAGACACACAAUGGGGAAAAUAUUUGCAAAAUAACUGACAAGGAAUUUUAUUCAAAAUACAUAGAGUUCCUAUAACUUGGUAAUAAAAACGAACCUAAUUUAAAAAUACACACUCAAAGACAUAUUAAUGGCCAAUAAACACGAGAACGUGUUCAUUAGUCAGAGAAAUGCAGACUGAAACCACAAGAUACCACUACAUGCCCAGAAGUCACAAUAUUUGUGUGCAAAUGUUCAUAGCAGCUUUACUCACACUUGCCAAAAACUAGAAACCAAUAAAAUGUUCACUAACAGGAAAACAGAUUAACAAAUUAUAGUAUAUUCAUACAAUCGAGUCCUACUCAGCAAUAAGGACUGUUGAACCUCAACAAUGUUUACGCUGAAAGAAUUACAAAGCUCCAGGGAAGGAAAUAAAAAUGAACCCUAGUCUAUGAUGAAAACAUUUGAGCUUGGUGGUGGUGGGAGAUUGCUUAAUUGCCUGGGUAGAGUAAGCUCCUUUUGUCCUGGUAAGGUGUGGGCAAAGGAGAACCACUUACCAAAAUUAUAACUUAGAUGUGUGUGUGUAUAUAUAUAUAUAUAUAUCUUUUUUUUUUUUUUUUUUGAGAUGAAGUCUCACUCUGUCGCCUAAGCUGGAGUGCAGUGGCAAUCUCGACUCACCGCAACCUCAGCCUCCCGGGUUCAAGUGAUUCUUCUGCCUCAGCCUUCUGAGUAGCUGGGACUACAGGCAUGCGCCACCACUCCCAACUAAUUUUUGUAUUUUUAGCAGAGACAGGGUUUCACCAUGUUGGCCAGGCUGGUCUUGAACUCCUGACCUCAGGUAAUCCACCCACCUUGGCCUCCCAAAGUGCUGGGAUCACAGGCGUGAGCCACUGUGCCCAGCUGGAUUUACAUAUUUCAAUUUAAAUAAAUUUUAUCUAAAAAGGGCAUGUAGUUAGUAGACAGAUAUGCCUAACUAGAAUGGUGUUGUUGAAACUGUAUAUAAAGGUUUAGUGUACCAUUUUGUUUACUUUGUAAGUUUGAAAAUUCUCCAUGUUAAAACUGGGCGCAGUGACUCAUGCCUGUAAUCCCUACACUGUGGGAGGCCGAGGUGGGCGGAUCAUCUGAGGUCAGGAGUUCCAGACUAGCCUGGCCAACAUGAUGAAACCCCAUCUUUACUAAAAUUACAAAAAAUCAUCCAGGCGUGGUGGUGCGUGCCUGUUAUCCCAGCUACUUAGGAGGUUGACGCAGGAGAAUCACUUGAACCCAGGAGGUAGAGGUUACAGUGAGCCAAGAUGGCGCCUCUGCACUCCAGCCUGGUGACACAGCGAGACUCCGUCUCAAACAUACACACACACACAAAACCCUCCAUAUUAAGAUGUUUACAAAUCUAAAAUCUAUUGUCUGGGCCCCUAGGCCAGAUAUCCAACAAUUUAUCAGACAUCCCUUGACAAGUCUGUUUCAUGGUUUUCUUACCAUCUUGAAGUCACAUACCUCUAGCUUUGUGUUUCAAAUGUCACCAUAGGGUUCUAUUGAGAAUCCAGGAAAACUGUGGCUAUUGCACAAGUCAAGAUUUUUGUUUUUGAGACAGGGUUUCACUUUUGCUCGGGCUAGAGUACAGUGGUACAAUCACAGCUCAUUACAGCCUCAAUUUCCUUUUAUUUAUUGUAGAGACAGGGUCUCACUAUGUUGCUCAGACUGGCCUCAAACUCCUAGGCUCAAGCAAUCCUCCCACCUCAGACUCCCAAACUUUUGAGAUUACAGGUGUGAGCCAUGGCGCCCAGCCCAAAGUUCAGUUUUGGAGUAAGAAUUUGGACACUUGACCAGGUGCAGUGGCUCAUGCCUGUAAUUCCAACAUGCUGGGAGGCAAAGGUGGGCGUAUUGCUUGAGGACAGAAGUUCAAGACCAGCCUGGCCAACAUGGUGAAACUUUGUCUCUACUAAAAAUACAAAAAUUAGCCGGGUGUGGUGGCACAUCCCUGUAGUCCCAGUUACUUGGGUGACUGAGGCAUGAGAAUCACUUGAACCUGGGAGGUGGAGGUUGCAGUGAGCCGAGAUCACGCCAUUGCACUCCAGCCUGGGUGACAGAACAAAAACGUCUUAAAAAGAAAAAAAAUUUUUUUUUUUCUGAAUGUCACUAGACAAUUAAACUUUUAUUGAAGCGUAAAUUGUGGUACAGAAAUACAUUUCAACUGAUUUAAGUCCAACACCAGUGAAAGGAGAA